rnacentral:rRNA from 1 species
AGAGUUUGAUCCUGGCUCAGGAUGAACGCUAGCGACAGGCUUAACACAUGCAAGUCGAGGGGCAGCAUGGUAGGUAGCAAUACUUAUUGAUGGCGACCGGCGCACGGGUGAGUAACGCGUAUGCAACUUACCUAUCAGAGGGGGAUAACCCGGCGAAAGUCGGACUAAUACCGCAUGAAGCAGGGGCCCCGCAUGGGGAUAUUUGCUAAAGAUUCAUCGCUGAUAGAUAGGCAUGCGUUCCAUUAGGCAGUUGGCGGGGUAACGGCCCACCAAACCGACGAUGGAUAGGGGUUCUGAGAGGAAGGUCCCCCACAUUGGUACUGAGACACGGACCAAACUCCUACGGGAGGCAGCAGUGAGGAAUAUUGGUCAAUGGCCGAGAGGCUGAACCAGCCAAGUCGCGUGAAGGAUGAAGGAUCUAUGGUUUGUAAACUUCUUUUAUAGGGGAAUAAAGUGUGGGACGUGUUCCAUUUUGUAUGUACCCUAUGAAUAAGCAUCGGCUAACUCCGUGCCAGCAGCCGCGGUAAUACGGAGGAUGCGAGCGUUAUCCGGAUUUAUUGGGUUUAAAGGGUGCGUAGGUGGUAAUUUAAGUCAGCGGUGAAAGUUUGUGGCUCAACCAUAAAAUUGCCGUUGAAACUGGGUUACUUGAGUGUGUUUGAGGUAGGCGGAAUGCGUGGUGUAGCGGUGAAAUGCAUAGAUAUCACGCAGAACUCCAAUUGCGAAGGCAGCUUACUAAACCAUAACUGACACUGAAGCACGAAAGCGUGGGUAUCAAACAGGAUUAGAUACCCUGGUAGUCCACGCAGUAAACGAUGAUUACUAGGAGUUUGCGAUACACAGUAAGCUCUACAGCGAAAGCGUUAAGUAAUCCACCUGGGGAGUACGCCGGCAACGGUGAAACUCAAAGGAAUUGACGGGGGCCC